AGAAGUGUACCCUUUAAUAAAAGGCUGUGUUUUAUUGAAAUACAGCAGACAUCAACAGGUUGUUUUGCUGGCCCGGGCAACAGAAACAGAGCAUCGAAUACUUUUCAAAUCGACUUAGAAACAAAUAGACGGCAAUUUUUUUGUUGUUAUAAGAAGUCAAAGACCCUCACAACCUGGCGCCCAAAACUGAGGAAAUGAAGCCUCAUUUUGGGUCACACGCUGAUUCAAAAGAAGUGUCUUACUUCCACUUUGGCUUCUUAAAAAUGCUGGUAUAUGAAGAUUUGAAACCGUGUUCAGGCCUGUUUUCGUGCCCGGGGUUGUUCUAUGUUUGAUAGUAGCGAUCGUAGAAGAAGCAGAACCUCAGUUAUGAAGCAGGGCUGGCCUCAACUCCCCAUAAAAACACAUUCAGUCCGCCUGGUUCCCCUCCUCCAAAAAGAAAUUUAGAAACCGUGCUCCCGCUCGCACAUAGGAGUCCAGUUUGAUCUAUUAUAUUGUUGGGCUCUAACGUGAAACUCCCGCUCGUUGUGGCUUUGUAACAACGCAUUAUGUAAUAACUUGUGGGGAAACCAGGCGCACGCAAUGGAUAAACUUCAAAGUGAGCAAACAGAGCACUUUAAAUAAAAACAAAGGAAGGACUCGUGCACACUAGUCAGACUGUAUUUCCCUCCAAAAUGGAGCCACGAUGUAGC